rnacentral:rRNA from 1 species
CUACGGGUUGCACCAGUGAGGAAUAUUGCACAAUGGGGGGGAACCCUGAUGCAGCAACGCCGCGUGGAGGAUGACGCAUUUCGGUGUGUAAACCCCCUUUAUAUGUCAAGAAAAUGACGGUAGCAUAUGAAUAAGCACCGGCUAACUCCGUGCCAGCAGCCGCGGUAAUACGGAGGGUGCAAGCGUUACUCGGAAUCACUGGGCGUAAAGGACGCGUAGGCGGGUUGGAAAGUCAGGUGUGAAAUCCUACAGCUUAACUGUAGAACUGCACUUGAAACUUCUAAUCUAGAGUAUGGGAGGGGGAGAUGGAAUUAGUGGUGUAGGGGUAAAAUCCGUAGAUAUCACUAGGAAUACCUAAAGCGAAGGCGAUCUCCUGGAACAUUACUGACGCUAAGGCGUGAAAGCGUGGGGAGCAAACAGGAUUAGAUACCCCCGUAGUC